rnacentral:rRNA from 1 species
CGAGGGGCAGCGGGGUAGUGCUUGCACUACUGCCGGCGACCGGCGCACGGGUGAGUAACACGUAUGGAACCUGCCCGCAGCAGGGGGAUAAGCGGAAGAAAUUCCGUCUAAUACCGCGUAACAACGUUGGGAGGCAUCUCCCGAUGUUUAAAGAUUUAUCGGCUGCGGAUGGCCAUGCGGCGCAUUAGCUAGUCGGCGGGGUAACGGCCCACCGAGGCGACGAUGCGUAGGGGUUCUGAGAGGAAGGUCCCCCACACUGGUACUGAGACACGGACCAGACUCCUACGGGAGGCAGCAGUGAGGAAUAUUGGUCAAUGGCCGAGAGGCUGAACCAGCCAAGUCGCGUGAGGGAAGACGGCCCUACGGGUUGUAAACCUCUUUUGUCGGGGAGCAAAGCGAACCACGUGUGGUUCAUUGAGAGUACCCGAAGAAAAAGCAUCGGCUAACUCCGUGCCAGCAGCCGCGGUAAUACGGAGGAUGCGAGCGUUAUCCGGAUUUAUUGGGUUUAAAGGGUGCGCAGGCGGAGGUGCAAGUCAGCGGUCAAAUUGCGGGGCUCAACCCCGUACUGCCGUUGAAACUGCAUCCCUUGAGUGCGCGAGAAGUAUGCGGAAUGCGUGGUGU